UGCUGUGAACUCGAAGAGUAGGGCGGGACACGUGGUAUCCUGUCUGAAUAUGGGGGGACCAUCCUCCAAGGCUAAAUACUCCUGACUGACCGAUAGUGAACCAGUACCGUGAGGGAAAGGCGAAAAGAACCCCGGCGAGGGGAGUGAAAAAGAACCUGAAACCGUGUACGUACAAGCAGUGGGAGCCUCUUUAUGGGGUGACUGCGUACCUUUUGUAUAAUGGGUCAGCGACUUAUAUUCUGUAGCAAGGUUAACCGUAUAGGGGAGCCGAAGGGAAACCGAGUCUUAACUGGGCGUUAAGUUGCAGGGUAUAGACCCGAAACCCGGUGAUCUAGCCAUGGGCAGGUUGAAGGUUGGGUAACACUAACUGGAGGACCGAACCGACUAAUGUUGAAAAAUUAGCGGAUGACCUGUGGCUGGGGGUGAAAGGCCAAUCAAACCGGGAGAUAGCUGGUUCUCCCCGAAAGCUAUUUAGGUAGCGCCUCGUGAACUCAUCUUCGGGGGUAGAGCACUGUUUCGGCUAGGGGGCCAUCCCGGCUUACCAACCCGAUGCAAACUACGAAUACCGAAGAAUGUUAUCACGGGAGACACACGGCGGGUGCUAACGUCCGUCGUGAAGAGGGAAACAACCCAGACCGCCAGCUAAGGUCCCAAAGUCAUGGUUAAGUGGGAAACGAUGUGGGAAGGCACAGACAGCCAGGAUGUUGGCUUAGAAGCAGCCAUCAUUUAAAGAAAGCGUAAUAGCUCACUGGUCGAGUCGGCCUGCGCGGAAGAUGUAACGGGGCUAAACCAUGCACCGAAGCUGCGGCAGCGACACUUAUGUGUUGUUGGGUAGGGGAGCGUUCUGUAAGCCGUUGAAGGUGUGCUGUGAGGCAUGCUGGAGGUAUCAGAAGUGCGAAUGCUGACAUAAGUAACGAUAAAGCGGGUGAAAAGCCCGCUCGCCGGAAGACCAAGGGUUCCUGUCCAACGUUAAUCGGGGCAGGGUGAGUCGACCCCUAAGGCGAGGCCGAAAGGCGUAGUCGAUGGGAAACAGGUUAAUAUUCCUGUACUUGGUGUUACUGCGAAGGGGGGACGGAGAAGGCUAUGUCAGCCGGGCGACGGUUGUCCCGGUUUAAGCAUGUAGGCGGAGGUUCCAGGUAAAUCCGGUAC
rnacentral:rRNA from 1 species